rnacentral:rRNA from 1 species
AGGAUUAACGCUGGCGGCGUGCAUGAAACAUGCAAGUCGAGCGCGGCGCGUGGCUUCGGUCACGCGUCUAGCGGCGCACGGGUGAGUAACACGUGAGCAACCUACCUUCGAGUUCGGGAUAGCCCUGGGAAACCAGGAUUAAUACCGGAUGUGGUCACAACGGGACAUCCCGAUGUGAAAAAAGGCGUAAGCCGCUCGAUGACGGGCUCGCGGCCUAUUAGCUUGUUGGUGGGUAACGGCCUACCAAGGCGACGAUGGGUAGCUGGUCUGAGAGGACGAUCAGCCACACUGGGACUGAGACACGGCCCAGACUCCUACGGGAGGCAGCAGUUAGGAAUUUUCCGCAAUGGGCGAAAGCCUGACGGAGCAACGCCGCGUGUGUGAUGAAGGCCUUCGGGUUGUAAAGCACUGUCGGAGGGGAAGAAUGAAUGACGGUACCCUCCAAGAAAGCCCGGCUAACUACGUGCCAGCAGCCGC